AAAGAGGUCCGCGACCAACUCCCGAAGGAGGGAGGCAGAUCAGAUGUCGCGAGGCUCUAAUCCCGGAAAUGAUAUCCAGGAUCUGGGUUGUGUCAAGUGAGCUCGAGGUGGGGAUCUGGUUCCAUAUUUCCACAGCAAAGGGACAAUGAAAGAAUAGGUGUACCUCUGAUUCCGAGGCUCCACAGUGAAUGCAGGAAGAAUCCGAGAUAACCUUUUGUUUGACAAGGUUGUCUCCUAGCGUGAUGAAUGGUAUCCCGAUCUUGUCGUGUAGUUUCCGGAGGGAUGUGGUGUCCAGAUGAAUCUGUCUUCCACGUCCGUGUGGCUUAGCUUGAUGCACUUUAUCUCAGUUUCAAACUCGGGUAGUAUCUCCCUGAUCAUAUUUUCUUUCCAUUCUUUUGUAUCUUCGUUGAUCAGGUCUGAGACUUUCAAAUUGUAAACGUGUUCCAGGGCUGGCCCGAUUGGCUUACGGAGCUGGGACGUGGAUAUCCAGUUUUCUUCUCAUAGACUUGUUGUUUUGCCAUUACCAAUGGCUUUUCCCAGCCUUUUCUUCAAAUUCGGUGCAGGAGACAGUCUGGGUUCAUUAGCAUUCUCCAGCUCAAUUUAGCUAGCAUUGCGUCAUUAAAGGUUGAUCGGGAGCUUGAAACAAGACAUUGCAUAGGUUGGCAUUGACGAUAGGACAGAUUUGAGGAGAACCAUCUUCCCCGCACUGGAAAGGAGUUUUGUUGAUCUAGCAAUUGCUUUCUGUCUUAUUCGAUCCACAAUAGAGCUGAAAAGAUCUUUUUUCUUCCUUCCAAAAUGCUCAGGUUAAGAUCAUAAUAUAUUGUAGAUGCAUCUGAGAUAUACAUCACAACGAAUAAACAUUCCACUAAAACAAUCAAGCUUGAGAUGAUUAAGGAUGAAAAGGUUGAUGGUGAGAAGAUUAAAUCCAAGAAGAUGAAAUUUGAGAAGACUAAAAAAUG